rnacentral:rRNA from 1 species
ACGGCGAGUGAAGCGGCAACAGCUCAAAUUUGAAAUCUGGCUUCGGUCCGAGUUGUAAUUUGCAGAGGAUGUUUAUGGUGCAGUACCUUCCGAGUUCCCUGGAACGGGACGCCACAGAGGGUGAGAGCCCCGUCUGGUUGGAUACUAAACCUAUGUUAAACUCCUUCAACGAGUCGAGUAGUUUGGGAAUGCUGCUCUAAAUGGGAGGUAAAUCUCUUCUAAAGCUAAAUACCGGCCAGAGACCGAUAGCGCACAAGUAGAGUGAUCGAAAGAUGAAAAGCACCUUGAAAAGGGGGUUAAACAGUACGUGAAAUUGUUAAAAGGGAAGCGUUUAUGACCAGACUUGUGUCGUGUGGCUCAUCCGAGGUUCUCCCCGGUGCACUCCACACGGCUCAGGCCAACAUCGGUUCUCGUUGGGGGAUAAGAACAGUAGGAACGUGGCCCCUCUCGGGGGGUGUUAUAGCCUAUUGUACGAUACCCUGAUGGGGACCGAGGACCGCGCUUCGGCUAGGAUGUUGGCGUAAUGGUCAUUAGCGACCCGUCUUGAAACACGGACCAAGGAGUCGUCCAUUAGAGCAAGCGUUUGGGUGUAAAACCCGCACGCGUAAUGAAAGUGAAAUUAGGUGAGAGCUUCGGCGCAUCAUCGACCGAUCCUGAAGUUUACGGAUGGAUUUGAGUAAGAGUUUUAACGGACGGACCCGAAAGACAGUGAACUAUGCUUGAAUAGGGUGAAGCCAGAGGAAACUCUGGUGGAGGCUCGCAGCGGUUCUGACGUGCAAAUCGAUCGUCAAA